AACGAACGCUGGCGGCAUGCCUAACACAUGCAAGUCGAACGAUUGCCUUCGUGUGGUGGUGGCCCACGGGUGCGUAACGCGUUGAAAUCUGCCCUUAGGUUCGGACUAACAGCUGGAAACGGCUGCUAAUACCGGAUGAUAUCGCGAGAUCAAAGGUGUAUCGCCAGAGGAUGAGCACGCGUUGGGUUAGGUAGGUGGUGGGGUAAAGGCAUACCAAGGCGACGAUGCAUAGCUGGUCUGAGAGGAUGACCAGCCACACUGGGACUGAGACGCGGCCCCGAAUGGUACGGGAGGGAGGAGUGGGGUAUACAGGAGACUGGGGGCAAGCCUGACCCCGCAAUGCGGGGUGAGUGAUGAAGGCGCUAGGGUUGUACAGCCCCUUUAGCCGGGAAGAGAAUGACUGUACCGGGAGAAUAAGCACCGGCUAACUACGUG
rnacentral:rRNA from 1 species